CGGCGGACGGGUGAGUAACACGUGGAUAACCUACCUAUAAGACUGGGAUAACUUCGGGAAACCGGAGCUAAUACCGGAUAAUAUAUUGAACCGCAUGGUUCAAUAGUGAAAGACGGUUUUGCUGUCACUUAUAGAUGGAUCCGCGCCGCAUUAGCUAGUUGGUAAGGUAACGGCUUACCAAGGCAACGAUGCGUAGCCACCUGAGAGGGUGAUCGGCCACACUGGAACUGAGACACGGUCCAG
rnacentral:rRNA from 1 species